CACAAAUGACUAUUCAUUUGAGAAAAUAAAGGUCCGUGCUUUCUUUCAUGUAGGCUACUUUUAUUUCGUUGGAACUGGAUAUAAAGAUGCGCAUCUCUCCAUUAUUGCUCCUCCUAGCCUGUGCGCGAGUAAACGGCUAUAGUUCAGGUCUAGUGACGGAGAGCUGCGAUGACAUGACGCCACGACACCAAGGCUCAAGCCCAUCGUCAAGUCCGCCACCAUUCACCAUCACAAUCGAUCGAUAUGAUUACAGCGAAGGAGAUGAAAUCACAGUGUCUCUCAGGGCAUACUCAACACCAUUCCAGGGUUUCCUGUUACAAGCAAGAGAAGUUGGAGGAAGCAGUCCUGUUGGGGCUUUCUCUUUGUUCGGAGCUGAAAAUAGACUCCUGGAUUGUGGUGGAUUGUCUAACUCAUCUGUUUCUCACUCAUCCGGUGACAACAAAAACUCAGUUCAGAGCAAAUGGAAGACUCCUCAGUCGGGACAGCUCAAAGACAUAGAGUUCAGUGUCACAUUUGUGCAAAAUUUCCGUGACUAUUGGGUUGGGAUCAAAAGUCCAGUGGUUGUCUACAACAGCAGCAGGUCUCCAGUGGGAAGCACAACUCGGCCCAUCUCCACCCUCUUACCUUCUCCACCUUCUGGACCACCAGCAUUAAGUCUGUUCUCAAAUGUACCCAUCUCCAGUGUUGACUGUGGAGAAAGUAAGGUCUGCUUUAGCAAACCCAAUGACUGUGACCCUGCCAGUAGCGCUGACUGUUACUUCAUGUCUGCCAUGACAUCACCUGCUGAUUCAUCAGUGAAGUUUGAGAUAUACGGUAGAUCAACAGGGUACAUCUCUUUUGGAUUCUCUGAUGAUCAGCUUAUGGGAAAUGAUGACAUUUACAUAUGCGGAAUGGAUAGCAACAGUACUAUUCAAGUACAGCAUGCCUAUUCUACAGGAAGAAGGGCUCCACAAAUCCUGCCACUGGGAAAUGUUUCUGACAUUAAAACAUCAUUUGUGGAUGGAGUUAUCAGCUGUAGCUUUGUAUCCAAGAAUGUCAUCAGUACCCAAAGGAGUGCAGUUGGAUCCAUCUACUACAUUUUGUUUGCCUAUGGCGGUACAAAUAAUGGUGCACUUCAGUAUCAUGGAACGUCUAGAUUUGCCAGCGAUCAAAAAAUUAACAUCACCAGACCUCAAGUCGUCACCGCACAGAAACCUCAAAUUAUGAAAGCACACGGUGCUUUGAUGUUGAUCGCUUGGAUGACAACGGGAAGCCUUGGCAUGCUUAUAGCACGUUAUCUGAAGGCUGUCACCAAGGGAAGAGGGUGCCUGGGUAAAGACCUGUGGUUUCUGGCUCAUGUAUCUCUGAUGGGGCUCUCUGUGGCUGCCACCAUCAUUGCGUUCAUUUUGGCUUUCUCUUACUUCAAAGGCUGGAGGGGGGGGGCACACCCAGUACUUGGCGUUUUGGUUAUGAUCUUGGCCUUUAUUCAACCUUUUGCAGCUCUUUUUCGUUGUGGCCCACAACACCAAUGGAGAUUUGUUUUCAACUGGUUCCACGUUUUGAAUGCUGUAGCAAUCAAAGGCCUGGCAGUGGCAGCCAUAUUUACGGGCUUGCAUAUAAUGGAGAGCUCCCAGGACAGGUGGAUGCAAAAGGUGAUGGCAGGGUUUGUGGGCUGGGAGGCACUGCUGUUUGCCUUGCAAGAUCUACACAUGAGGUGGAAACGAAAAGAUGAAGAUGGAGAUGUCUCAGGAUUUGUACACAUCGAGAUCGAGAAGGAAUUCUGCAGGAUCACACUGAAGCUAUUGCAGUCCACAUUCCUGGGCAAGUUGGACCAACACACACCCAAGCUGUUGCCUGUACAGGAGGAAGGGUGGAGCCGUUGGGAAGAAACUUGAUGAGACCCUUGACAUGUUAAAUGAGGACGACACAAUUGAGUCGCGAAGAGAAGUUGUGAUCAGAGGACUCACACUCUACCUUGGUGAAUACACUGGAGAGUUAAUGAAGGACUACCAGGUUAUUAAUGAUGUCGAUGCUGCGACCAUCCAAGAAGCUAUUACUACAUUUGCCCUCGGCAUCUUUUUUGUCAGCAAAGGCAGGGAUGGUCUCCCCAAGCAAGCUGGAAUAGCCAUCGAGGGACCUUUUUGGUAUCCCAGAUGUGGCACAUGCUUGCACCUAUCUGAUGGGCCUUAUCUAUGCCUUGGAACUGAGGUACCCUAAUAAACUGAAAUACACGUUUGAGGUCUUUCAGAAGAUCUUCCUAGAGCUAGAGGAUGCAAACCAAAAACUGUCCUCCAAAGUCCAUGAUCUCAAGGUCUGUUUGCAAGCUUAAAAUCUAUACAGAUGGUGUAUACAGUAGAAUGUAUUUUGAUUUGUUUGUAAUAGAAUGUAUUUUGAUUUGUUUUUUUGGCUUUUGUCAAAUAAAUGUAUUUAUUUGA